rnacentral:tRNA from 1 species
GGAGAGAUGGCUCAGUGGUUAGAGCACUGGCUGCUCUUCCAGAGGUCCUGAGUUCAAUUCCCAGUAACCACA